CAGUCGCCACGGUAAUACAGAGGGUGCGAGCGUUAAUCGGAUUUACUGGGCGUAAAGCGUGCGUAGGCGGCUUUUUAAGUCGGAUGUGGAAUCCCUGAGCUUAACUUAGGAAUUGCAUUCGAUACUGGGAAGCUAGAGUAUGGGAGAGGAUGGUAGAAUUCCAGGUGUAGCGGUGAAAUGCGUAGAGAUCUGGAGGAAUACCGAUGGCGAAGGCAGCCAUCUGGCCUAAUACUGACGCUGAGGUACGAAAGCAUGGGGAGCAAACAGGAUUAGAUACCCCAGUAGUCCCUGUCUCUUAUAC
rnacentral:rRNA from 1 species